AUCAAACAUACAUCAAAUAUGACGAUGAAUGAAGCAAUACAAAGCCUGUGCCCAACGCUCAGUCUAGGAAAGUGGGUGAUCACCCCGGCGUCCACCCUCCCUCCACUUCGCAGGCUGCCGUCUCUGGACCUCGUGUGCCUUCCCCGUGGCUCUGCGCCACGCCUUCCCAUCCCCAGCCACACCCGGCUCACCUUUGAGCUCGACGCCAUGGCCACUGUCUCCCGCACACGGGCCUUAGGGCCCCACUCCUCCUCCUGACAUUGAGUUCCUGAGAUUCCACCUGAGUGGCUGUGAGCACUGUGGUCAUUCUCGCUGCCAGGCUGUGUCUGUUCUAUGAAAUCACAGUUCCACUCUGCUGGUGGGGGCAGCAGUGGCUUCCGGACUCUCCUUCUUUCUUUCUUCUUUAUUUUUGAGACAGAGUCCUACUCUGUUGCCCAGGCCGGAGUGCAGUGGCACAAUCUCGGCUCACUGCAACCGCCACCUCCCGGGUUCAAGCAAUUCUCCUGCCUCACCCUCCCGAGUAGCUGAGAUUACAGGUGGGUGCCACCAUGCCCGGCUAAUUUUUGUAUUUUCAGUAGAGACGGGGUUUCACCAUGUUGGCCAGGCUGGUCUCGUGUGAUGCGCCCGCCUCGGCCUGGGGUUCCUGUUCUUGCUCAGGGCCGCUGCUGCUGGCUGCCUCCUGGUUUCCAGCUGUGCCCGAAUCAGCUCGCCCCACUUCAAUGGUGGCAAGGUGCCCUUCCUGGGGGCGGGCAGCCCAGGACCCACAGCCGGGACCCUGUAGGCUCCAGCAGCUCUGUGUGAGCAGCCCUGGCCCCUGGCCCUGUGCUGGAGGCAGCGUCCUCCCCACUCCGAUGUCACAGAGGAAACAAAUGCAAACCGUUCAGCAGUGGCCCCCGAAUAACUCAGCCUGAGUGGAACCCGAGGGUUCUUUGCAGGACUUAAGUGGCGCCGUUUCUGUCAGACAGAAAAUAAACUAAGUUUAUGGUAUUUGGAAAGCAUCAGAGUUCAGCAAGAUCACGGCACCCAGGACCACUUGAGAGCUGCAGUGAUUGAGGGCUGGGCAGAGGCGACGCAGCUGGGGACAGGCCAGGAAUGUCGGCCCCAUCCAGGGAGCACAGGGCGCCCCUCCCAGGGCCUUGGAGGAAAUUCAACCCUGUCAAGCUUGGAGGCCUUCGGCGCAUUUAGCCGUUGAAGGAAGUACCCACCGUGGUGUGCUCCAACCAGCAUUUUCACAUUCACAGUGAGGCCAGCUCGCUCCUGCUCCCACCAGCCCAUCGCAGGUCAGAGAAAAGCCAGACGCCCUGCUCCACAUCUCUCUCAUACUUCUCCGCUCUUCACAACAGGCAGCCUGGCCAGCCCCUUCUCACCUCCCUGGGCACUGCGGCUGCACCCCCAGGCCUGGCAAGGUCACGGUGACCUCCACACCAGCCCAUGCAAUUCCAGGCUUCCCAUUGCCCCUGAGAAGGUCAAAGCCCCGGGUUGCUCAGCCAGGCCGCUCCCUCCACCAUCCCCUCUUGGUUCCCUUUGGCUCACUCACCUGCGCCCGGCCCCUGGCUCUGUGGCCUGCGCUCCAGGCCUGCUCCUGCCCCAGGGCCUUUGCGCUCCCCACCCCCACCUGGAUGGCCACACACGCCCUCACCCUUCAAGAGGCUCACCCCGUGCUCAACGUAAAAUCCCACCAGAGCCCCGGCCUCCAGCCUGCUGCUCUGCCUCUCCCACCCCCACCCCCGGCUUGCUCUUUGCACCCCUGCCCUGCUCUCCUGCUGGCUGGGGCUCCUGGGGCAGGGGUUCUGGGUGUGGGUUUGCUGUUUCACCGCCUCAUCUCGGGACCCAGAACUGUAGACGCACACAGGGCUCCAUGUGUGGCCUUUAUGGAGCUUGAAUUCAUUGCACUCAGCAGAGGGGAAGGCAGGUGAUGAGCGGGCGUCGUCCAAAGCCUCAGAGCUGUGGGUGAGUCUCCAAAUGGUUUUGUUUGAACGUAACAUUAAAAGUCUAAGUUGUGGCUUGGGCUGAAUUAGAAGCUACAGCACCACACACACAUGCACACAUAAGCAGACACCACACACACGCACACAUGAACAUAUGCCACACACAAGAACAUACCCCACACACACGCACACAUGCACAGACACUACACAUCUAUGAACAUACCACGUGCACACAGGAUACACCACACACACGCACACACGUGCACACUCCCCCCGUGGGCUCCUGGCAGCAGGGGCUGUUCCCAUCACUCUGGUGCUUGCCCCUGCUGGGGAACCGUCCAGUUGUCACCAACUCACUUCUAAGCCAUGUAUCAGGGCUUCCCAGCCUCAGCUCCAGACUGCACGCUCAGCUUCUCCAUGUCCAGCCCGGCAUGCAGGGCAUGACGUGUGACAGGGCUCAGCCCCUCCAUGUCCCUUCUUUCCCCCGUGUCUAGGCUGUCCUUGCCAGGCAGUGGACUUUCGCUCUUGCCCUGCUCAGCCGCUUCCCUCCUCCUUCCCAUAAAACAUGGGGCUCAGCCCGGCAGGAACUCCCUAAGUAGCUGGGUGGAGUUCCAGCCCUGGAUGAAGGGGAGGGCACAGGACCAGGCUGAGCCAAUCAGCAUGGCAAUAGGCUCAGGGAGAGACACACGGCCCAAUCAGAGCCAGGAGAGGUUGGCUGGGCUCCGGGAGACAGGACGUGAGGCUGGAGUGGCUGCAGCCUCUUGCAGACAGUGGAGGCUCAGGCUAAGCCAGCAAGACCAAGAGGAGCACGGAGAGCUGGCAAGACGCUGGCCCGAUGAUAUCGCCUGAGCCGUGAAUCCUCCUGGCCAACGCCAGGGCUUCCUCAGGCUUUGUCAUUGCAGGGACACUUCCCUCCCUCCCUCCUUCUCUGUCUCUCUCCCCACUGCCUCUCUUUCUAGCUUAAGCCAAUUUGAGAUGGAUUUUCUGUCACUUGCUGUUGAAGGAGUCCUGGUCCAGCCCAGGUGGAUUUCGUGCAAAUGAAACCCACAUAAUGCAAGUCUGUGUGGAAGUGAUCGUCUGCGAUCGGCGCGUGCCCUUCGCCUUAUGAACAGGAGCCAUGGGUGACACGAGCGCCUCGGCUGGGCCGCCGGGGUCCGUCUGAGGUCCAUCUGUCUCCAGGGCACAGACCCCAGGCCUGGACAGAGCCGGGCACGUGUGAAACGGGAAGAUGUCAGCUGGGGAACCGGCCGCAGCUCCCAACCUUGAUGAGGAAAGAAACCUGGUAGCUGUUCCUGCAGAAAAGCCACAUGGCUCGCCGCCUAUCUCCACGAUGGUACCUGGCUUCUCCCAUCCUCACCGUCCACGUCUACUCCCUUCCCAUCCCAGACCCGAGACGCAGAAGGCUUUAGACAGAGCAGCUUCAUCAGGAAUCUGGACUGGGCUGAGGUACCUGCUCCCAGCUCCUCAAAGUGCCAUCCGGUAAAUCUGCAUCUAUUAGAGCUGACAGCCAGGCUGCUCAGGCUUAAACAAUUAAUAUGCAUGAGGAGUCCGCAAACACAGAGCAGGGGCAUGUUACUGUGCUGGGAUGUAGGACGGCUUCUCGGAUAAGGUCAUUCAUUUUUAUGAUUCUGCUUAAUUUGGAUUUGCCAGUCUUCCUUUCAUUAUCCCAUGGGCCAGUCUUAAUAAUCAAGACUAUGUUAUGUGCUUUGUGGCAUAAUUAAAGCCACUGCCUAAUUAGACAAGCAUCUACCGUCUGACAAAGAGAAAUCAGUAAUGCAGCUAAUGGAGAAAGUGGUGAGGAGUUGGGUUUGAAAGUGGAUGGAAUCACCUGUUGGUGCCAGAACACACACACACAUGCACACAUGUCCACACAUGCACACACAUCUGUGGACACACACACACAUGUACAUACAUCUCACACACACAGAUACAUGCACACAUGUACACACGCAGAUACAUGCGCAUGUACAGGCAUGCACACAUACACACACACACACACUCUCCUACAUUCUAUGUGUGUUUCCGAUGACCAGCCCUGUCAAACCAAACCAAUCAGCAGUGCAGUUUCUGCCGGGAUAGUUGGCCUCUGAGGGGUUAAAGCCAUGCAGGGAAUCCAAGUCUGAGUUUCAAGUGGGCCGGGCUGAGCUUGCUUUUGUUUACUUCUUUAAUCAUCCAUGGACGCUUGCUGGGGCCUGCAAUGGCCAGGCACAUCCACCCACGUGGGACAAGAUGCAGCUUCCGUGGCUGCUUGCAGGGGAUGGAAGACUCCCACAGACGCCUGCUAACAUCACAUGCCCAAGUGUCACCGCGAUGCCACGUCCAGUCUGAGCCAUUCCUCGCCCAUGUCCCUGUCCUUGUUGCAUAGCCGGCCUCCAGCGUGUGGCUUCGUGCAGCGACCAGACCGUCGUGUGACUUUCUGCCACGGUUGCUGGGGUUGGCACUGGGGCAGACCUGCUGGGGGGUUCUGGGUUGCAGCUGGAGCGCUGGGACUGGCAGGACGCCUCUCUUCGUGCUGCCCCAGGGCCCAUCCACGUCGACUCCCGGCGUGAAGCGUGUGGGCUGCCUCACAGCCUGGCAGCUCCAGGACUGCUGGGGGCUCCCCCCGCGGCCCCGGCUCUGCUGGCAGCACUGGGCCAGAAGCAACUCACCUUCACACAGCCGCCCUGAAGGCACGUAGGUUCCGGAAGGGAACCUUGGGAAAUGGGAUUCGUGCCAUACUCAUGGGAGUCCCAAGCUCCCUCGCCCAUUUCACUCCAUGAGGAUAGGAGGGGACAGCUGCUGACGACCUGGCAGAGACCCUGCGCCAGGCCCCACCCCACCGGCACCCUGAUCUUGCACUUCCGGCCUCGAGAAUGGUGAGAAACUCCUCGUGUUGUUUAUAAGCCACCCGGUCAGUGGCCCUCUGACCAGGGCCAGCAGCUCUGAGGCCCUCCCCCCGCCCCGGCCCC
rnacentral:lncRNA from 1 species